rnacentral:rRNA from 1 species
AAGGGGGUACUGCGGAGGAUCAUUAUCGAGUUUUGAAGUGGGCUUGAUGCUGGCCUUUUUACCGAGGCAUGUGCUCAGCCCCGCUCAAAUCCACUCAACACCUGUGCACUUUCAAAGUUGUAGUCCUCCGUAAUGGGAGUCGCGGUUUAUCACUCGCAAGGGUGACAGACUUGCUGGGACUGCGCUUUGCCCUUCAUCACAAACCAUUUACAUUGUAAUGUAGAAUGCAUAGCCUAAUUAUUAGGUGAAACUUAAUACAACUUUCAACAACGGAUCUCUUGGCUCUCGCAUCGAUGAAGAACGCAGCGAAAUGCGAUAAGUAAUGUGAAUUGCAGAAUUCAGUGAAUCAUCGAAUCUUUGAACGCACCUUGCGCUCCUUGGUAUUCCGAGGAGCAUGCCUGUUUGAGUGUCGCGAAAUCAUCAACUCCUCUCUUUUGCUUUUGUAAAGGAGGGUGAGCUUGGACUUGGGGACUUUGCUGGCCCAUUACUGGGUUCUGGCUUCCCUUGAAUGCAUUAGCUGGAUCUCUAUUCGCAGCAUAUAUGCGGUGUGAUAAUGUCUUCACUGCAUCGCUCGAGUUGAAGCUAGCUUCUAAUCGUCCUUAGGGACAAUCUCUGAUCAUUUCGACCUCAAAUCAGGUAGGACUACCCGCUGAACUUAAGCUACAAAAAGGGGGGGGAAAAAAUUUAAU